rnacentral:rRNA from 1 species
UUGAAUAGGGAAGAACAAGGUGCCGUUCAAAUAGGGCGGCACCUUGACGGUACCUAACCAGAAAGCCACGGCUAACUACGUGCCAGCAGCCGCGGUAAUACGUAGGUGGCAAGCGUUGUCCGGAAUUAUUGGGCGUAAAGGGCUCGCAGGACGGUUGUCUUAAGUCUGAUGUGAAAGCCCCCGGCUCAACCGGGGAGGGUCAUUGGAAACUGGGGAACUAUGAGUGCAGAAGAGGAGAGUGGAAUUCCACGUGUAGCGGUGAAAUGCGUAGAGAUGUGGAGGAACACCAAGUGGCGAAGGCGACUCUCUGGUCUGUAACUGACGCUGAGGAGCGAAAGCGUGGGGAGCGAACAGGAUUAGAUUACCCUGGUAGUCCACGCCGUAAACGAUGAGUGCUAAGUGUUAGGGGGUUUCCGCCCCUUAGUGCUGCAAGCUAACGCAUUAAGCACUCCGCCUGGGGAGUACGGUCGCAAGACUGAAACUCAAAGGAAUUGACGGGGGCCCGCACAAGCGGUGGAGCAUGUGGUUUAAUUCGAAGCAACGCGAAGAACCUUAACCAGGUCUUGACAUCCUCUGACAAUCCUAGAGAUAGGACGUCCCCUUCGGGGCAGAGUGACAGGUGGUGCAUGGUUGUCGUCAGCUCGUGUCGUGAGAUGUUGGGUUAAGUCCCGCAACGAGCGCAACCCUUGAUCUUAGUUGCCAGCAUUCAGUUGGGCACUCUAAGGUGACUGCCGGUGACAAACCGGAGGAAGGUGGGGAUGACGUCAAAUCAUCAUGCCCCUUAUGACCUGGGCUACACACGU